UGUCUAAGGACUGGUAGUUGAUUGAGGAGGUUUGGUGUCCUUGGUAGGCAAUGUGGGGUUUGGCAACUCAGGCAAGUGGGGAAAAGCUGGCAGUUCAGGUUUUGAUAACUCGGGCAAUUGAGGUUUUGGAAGAGUGGGAAUUUCAAGCUUUGGCAACUCAGGCAAUUCAGGUUUUGGCAGUGUGGGAAGUUCAGGUUUAGGAAAGGUUGGAACUUCAGGCAAUGGUGGAAAGUCAACCUUAGGCAGAGAUGGUAGCUCAGGCAACUCAGGCUUGGGAAGCUCAGGUACCUUCGGCAAUGUUGUCUCUAAAAGUUGUCGUGCAUCUGCGGAGAUUGAUAGAGCGAUGAGCGAGAGCAUAAUGAUGAGGGAAGGGGAGCGAAGAUUGGCCAUAAUUUGGCGACAGGAUCAAUUGCAACCAGCUGCAAAGUGAAUAAUAAAUAAAUUUCUCCUCAAUUUUGUUGGUUGUGAUGAUGUUCACUUGUGUUGAGCUUUUAUAGAACUGAAAAGUGGAGAAUGGGGAAAUUCCAAAGGUUAUUUAGUGGGAAAAGUUGUGUUAGCUCAACUUCCCACCUAUAAUACUCCCACAAUUGGCAUGACCAACUAUAGACUUCCUUACAAAUGUAACCUUAAAAAUCAAGCAUUUGAGAUAUCCUUUGGUUUAACUAAACAAGAGAAAAGGUUUAAAUAAUUGAUAUAUUUAAGAAUUAACCUUUUUACUCUUAAACUUCCUUUAUUUCAUAAAAAAUAUUUUUUAGAAAAAUUUUUUGUUAUAUUUUCUAGUAUUCAAGAAGACUCAGGAAAAUUAGUGAAUAUAAAAUACUUUCUUAGUAAAAAAAACAAUAAAAUCAUUUAAAGAAAAAUAAUUUCCUCUAGAAAAUUAUUUUCUUUAUUUUCAAAAUUUUACUAACAUUUCUAAAUAUAAAUUUUAUUAAUGUAUUUUCUUUUUAAAUUGAAAUUAAACAAUAAAAUAAUUUGUUAGAAAAUAUUUUUUUAAUGAAAAAAUCAUUAUAGAAGAUGUUUUAUAUGAAAAAUAUUUUUGCAGAGCAUAAACAGAGUCUUAGUAUUUGCGUUGCAUAAAUCGAAUAAAUUGAGAAUCGAAAUUGUAGUAUUUAUAAAAAUCGAACCAAUUGAUUUUGAUUAGAAAUUGAAUCGGUCUAAUUCAUUUCGAUUCGCUUCGAUUUGAUCGGUUUAAAUUUUUAAUAAAUUUUUUUUAUUUUUUAUAUUUUAUUUUUAGUAUUUUAAAAUUUAAUUGGAAUAUUUUAAUUUUAAUAUGAUCUAAACAGAGUCUUAGUAUUGGGUAUGAUCGUAUUCAACCUUAUUAAAUAUUUUAUAAUCCAAAAUACUUUCACACAAAAGAACAAAGAGAAUUACCAAACUUUAAAAUAAACGUUGUUGUUAAUUCAAAAAUUCAUAAUGUUUGUUAUAUUUGAUAUUAUGAAUUAGUGAAAUUAGACGAUGUUGAUGCUCUAAAAUUAAAAAAUUUAUACAUUUUAUUCUCAAAUCUAUUUUUUCAAAAUAAGCGUGAACCACCCAUUUAAUUAAAAUUAUAGAUUAAAUAAAAUAAAUAUGGUUUAAGAAGAAGUAUUUUUUUUUUAAAUAUUCAAGUGUUGUCGCCUUUGGGAAUGAGGUAAAUUUCAAUUAAUCAAACUCAUUUUCAAAAUAUACAUUUAUUAAAAAAAUUUUCAUCGUAUCGAAACAACUCUCAAAUUUCGUUAUUAUAGAGAGCAGUUAUUUUUUUACAACUAUUGAUAGUAUAAUAAAAAAAUAAAUUAUUUUUUAAAAAAAAAAAUUCAUCCAAAAACACUUUUAAAGAUCAACGCUCAUCAUUGAAUUCCACCAUUCAGAAUAAAAAAGGGUAGGAACCAGACUUGGAAUACCAUCUAAGUAAAGCUAAGAAUCAAAUACGUCCAAGUAUAUAAGUUAUAAUUAAACUGAGUUUAGUGAGCAAAGACUAGUCUAUUUGUGUUGGCAAUUGAACUGCAAUAUUUAACACUUUGAUAUUGUUAAUUUUUUAUUUAAUAAACUAUAAAUUCAAUGAUGCAGCUGAUAUGUUAAAUUAAAUAAUUUAAAUUGAAAUUAUUGUUUUAAUUUGUUAAGAUUUAAAUUAAGCUUUAUAUUUAUAAUUUUAUUUAGAUUGUUCACCUCAUAUAUAAUUAAUAAAUUUAUAGAACCAUUUAAUAUUGAUUACAUUUUUUUUUUUUGAAAUAGGGGUUGGGGGAGUCGAACCUUAGACCUUUCAAGGCUACAGGAUGCACUUUCCACCAGGCUAAGCCUUGGAGUGCUAUUGAUUACAUUUUUUGUUUUUCUUUUUUCUCAAAAACUAACAUGAAUUCAUCAUAAUUGUUUCUUCUUAAUUAGUCAAAUUAAAUAUUAAAUGAUUUCCUCACAAACGUAAAAAUCAACUAAAUGUUAGAAACUUUUAGCUUGUUUAGAAUCUGCUAAAUUAAUAUGAUUAUACAUCUUCUGAGCUACUGAAUUACAAUUCAGAUUUAUAUUAUGAUAUAUGAAGAACAGUAGGAGAUUUUGUUGGAACUUAAUUAGUUCAAACAAGUUAAUUUAGAUAUUAGAAUAAAAAGAAUUAAAAAAAUUAUAUAAAAACAAUUAAUUAAAAUAAAAAAAAAAUUCAACUUUAAGAUGGGAGGGAGUAGCAAUUCAAAGAAAUGUAAAGAGGAGAUGUGGUAUUGAAUUAGCAUCUACUGUACUUAGAAGAAAAAUGAAAUGAAAAAUCUAAUUUUGUCAAGACAUACACAUCACAUAUUGAAUUAGAUCUUAAUCGGUAGUCAAGACAAAAAACUAAAUAUUAAAAAGAAAAAAAAUACAAUACUUUUAUCUGUUUUUCACUUUGGAUAUUUGUUUACAAACAACAUGAUAUUAUAGUACUAUUUAGAUAUAAAAUUAAAUGAAAUUAAAUCACAAACGACGUAAUUCAAAAACCUUGAAAUGAAACACUAAUACAAUCACAAGUUACAUUUUUAUAUUUUUUUUAAAGUGAAAUACUGGUACAAUCACAAGUAAUAUUUUUUAUUAAAAUUAAUAGAAAUAUAUUAAGUUUGAACUGCUUAUACAACUUAUAGGAUUAUCUCCCUAUGGAGCUCUCAAUUAUUCUAAGCUCUUACAUUCUUUUGAAUAAAAAAAUGAAUAUUAUACAACAAUAACAACAAUUAUAAGAUUUAUAAGAAUUUGUUGAUGCUACUAUAUUUAUACACAUACACAGUGCAUUCAUAAAUUAUAAUGGAAAGCAAAAGUUUUAAAUUAGAAAUUAUAAAUACAAAAUAAUUUAUCAUAAUUUUAUAAAAUAUUAAUUAAAAAAAUAUAUAGUCCUAUGAAUGUCAUAGUAAUUAUAAAAAUUUAGAUGAGUUCAAAAUAUAAUAUAAAAAUAAAUUUUAAAAUAUAUAAUACCACAUAUACCAAUUAUGAUUAUGAGGGUGAAUAAAUAAUUACGUAAUUUUGGUUUCACUUCUUAAAAAAUUUCAAUUAAUUACGAAAUAACAAUAUAAAUUUAAGAGAAAAUUAUUUUUUAGUCUCUGAGGUAUACCGUAAUUAACGAAUUCACCCCUCUAUUUUUAGAACCCAACACUUUCGUCCCUGAGAUUUAAUUCAAUAAAAAUUAGAAGUCCCUCCGUUAGUGACAGAAAAAAAUGACCGAACUACUCUUUCUUGAACCCAACACUUUUGUCCCUGAAAUUUAAUUCCUACAAGUUUAUAGGUCCAUCUCUCAAAGAAUUGAAGGAAAAAAUAUAUUUUCGUCCCUAAGAUAUUACAUAAUUAACAGAUUUAUCUCUCUAUUUUUUAAAUUCAACACUUUAGUCCUUGAAGUUUAAUUUCGUUAAAAUUGAAGGAAGAAAAUCUGAAACUCAAUCCCCAUAAACAAAUAAAAAUUUCAAUAAAUUUAAGAUUCAAAUUCAUUAAAUAUAAUCAAAAUCAAAAUAUAUAAAAAUUAAAUUAUUAAAAAUAAAAAGUUAAAACUCAAUAGAAAUUGCUUUUUUUGUGCUGUUCGCUGUCGAUCAUUGUUCGCCAUUUAAAAAAUUCAUUAAAAUGUCUAUGAUAUUUUAAAAAGUCUACUAGUUAAUAUUUCCAUUAAUUUUAGUCGUUAAGUAUUAUAAAAAAAUAUCAAAUACCUCCGAUAUAGAUGGACUAAUUAGUAAAUUUUUUAUUAAUUUGAGGGACCAACUAAUAAUUUUUUCUAAACUAUAGGGACUAAAUAGUAAAAUAUUUGGUAAUAAAAUUAAUAAAGAAACUAACUAGUAGAAUUUUUAAAAUGUUAGGGACAUUUUAAUAUACUUUUCAAAAUUGAGGGACCAAGUAGCGAGUUUUUUCAUACUAUAGGGUCUAAAUAGUGAUUUUUUCAUUUUAUUAUUGAUAAGGAUAUUUUUGGGAUUAUAUUUAUUCUCUUUCCUUUGAUUAAGUGGAAAUUAUUGACUUAACAAAAAUUUUUUCCAGAGACCUUGAAUUUGACGGAAUUAAAUCUCAAGACGAAAGUGUUGGAUUCUAAAAAAACAGGGACAAAGUAGUUAAUUAUGUUAUACCUCAGGGACUAAAAAGUAAUUUUUCCUCACUUUAAAUAUGUUUGAUUUAGAAAAAAAAAUAAAUUUUGAUGAGCACUGUAAAAAUAAGUUUUAUAAUAGUAUAACUUGUUUCAAGGUUUCUUUAAGAUAGACAUUAAGAUUCAUUUACUUAUUUGGAAGUCCAACAAUUAACUUUCUUCUUUUAACUUAAUUCUCGCUGAAUGAAACGAUUACAUAUGAGAAUAUUGUAAAUAUCAAAAUUUUAUUUAUUUGAAAAUCUAGUAAUUAAAUCUUUCUUUAACUUAUUUCUCGCCGCAUACAACGAUUGCAUGCAAGAAUCUUGAAAAUAUCUACUUUUUCUUUUUUUUCUCGGCUUCUUUUCCGCUAGGAGCGGAGGCUUCUUUACCGCUGGGAGCAGAGGCUUCUCCACCGGGACCAGGAGCAGAGGCCUCUCCACCGGGAGCAGAGGCCUCUUCUUUCUCUUUCUCUUGAGCAUUUGAAACAGAAAAUAAGGAAAAUAUAAUCAAUAGUGAAAUACAACAUACGAAAAGCCCAAAUUUCUUCAUCUUGUAAACUCAACUAUGGAUUUUACUUUUUUUCUUUUUGUUUUAUGUGUAUGAAUAAACAUACCGAACUUUGAACCUUUUAUACUUCUCUUGAUGUUAAGAUUUGGAAGUUAAAUUCCAUGAUUUAAGGAGGCUCAAUGAGCUAAACUAAGGAGAAAAUCCUACUUAUUUAUUUUUCAUAUGACUCGGUACUUAUUUUUAAAAUCUUAACUAAAAUUAUCAACAAUGCGUAAUUCUAAAAUACCUAGAGAUUCACCCUUCAAUGUAGUAUUCUUUUUUUUUUUUUUUAAACUCAUAUGUGCUCUUUAUAAUCCAUAUUUCUUAAUGAUAUAAAUAAUGUUCCUAUUAUAAAAAUUUAAGUGGUUCAUAAUAAUUUUUUGAGAAGAGUUGAUAUGAAAAUUAUAGCUCAUUAUACACCAAACAAUUAAAUUAUGAAUAAUAUUUGAGUGUCAUUUGUCUAACACAAUAAUAUUGUUAACGCUCAACAAAUUAUUCAUCAAACUCAUUUUUAAAAUAUACAUUCAAUAAAAUAUCAAUAAAAUUAUUCAUUGGUAUCGGAACAACUCUCAAAUUUCACUAUUAUAGAGAGCAGUUAUUUUUUUGUAACUAUUGAUUGUAUAAUAAAAAAAUAAUUUUAUUUUUUUAAAUUUCAUCCAAAAACACUUUUAAAGAUCAACACUCAUCAUUGAAUUCCACCAUUCAGAAUAAAAAAAGGUAGGAACCAGACUAGGAAUACCAUCUAAGUAAAGCUAGGAAUCAAAUACGUCCAAGUAUAUCAGUUAUAAUUAAAUUGAGUUUAAUGAGCAAAGACUAGUCUAUUUGUGUUGGCAAUUGAACCGCAACAUUUAACACUUUGAUAUUGUUGAUUUUUUAUUUAAUAAAUUAUAAAUUCAACGAUGAUGUAGCUGAUAUGUUAAAUUAAAUAAUUUAAAUUUAAAUUAUUGUUUUAAUUUGUUAAGAUUUAAAUUAAGCUUUAUAUUUAUAAUUUUAUUUAGAUUAUUCACCUCAUAUAUAAUUAAUAAAUUUAUAGAACCGUUUAAUAUUGAUUACAUUUUUUGUUUUUCUUUUUUCUCAAAAAUUAACAUGAAUUCGUCAUAAUUGUUUGUUUUUAAUUAGUCAAAUUAAAUAUUAAAUGAAUUCCUCACAAACAUAAAAAUCAUUAAAGCAUUUGUAAAUUAGAAUUUACAGUUUUAGCUUGUUUAGAAUCUGCUAAAUUAAUAUGAUUAGACAUCUUCUGAGCAAUUGAAUUACAAUUCAGAUUUAUAUUAUGAUAUGUGAAGAAUAGUACGAGAUUUUGUUGGAACUUAAUUAGUUCAAACAAAUUAAUUUAGAUAAAUAGUAAAUUUAUCUAAAUGGAAUGUGAAGCCUAAUCUAAUUUUAUAUAAGCCAAGUUUAAGCAAGAAAAAAAAUUAUGUAGAAUAAAAAAGAAUUAAAAAAAUUAUAUAAAAACAAUUAGUUAAAAUAAAAAAAAAAAUCAACUUUAAGAUGGGAGGGAGUAGCAAUUCAAAGAAAUGUAAAGAGGAGAUGUGGUAUUGAAUUAGCAUCUGUUGUACUUCAAAGAAAAAUCAAAUGAAAAAUCUAAUUUUGUCAAGACAUGCACAUCUCAUAUUGAAUUAGAUCUUAAUCAGUAGUCAAGACACAAACGACGUAAUUCAAAACACUAAUACAAUCACAAGUUACAUUUUUAUAAUUUUUUUAUUAAAAUUAAUAGAAAUAUAUUAAGUUUGAAUUGCUUAUACGACUUAUAGGAUUAUCUCCUUAUGGAGCUCUCAAUUAUACUCAGCUCUUACAUUCUUUUGAAUAAAAAAAAUGAACAUUAUACAUUAAUAAAAAUAAUUAUAAGAGUUUGUUGAUGCUACUAUAUUUAUACACAUACACAUUACAUUCAUAAAUUAUAAUGAAAAGCAAAAGUUUUAAAUUAGAAAUUAUAAAUACAAAAUAAUUUAUCAUAAUUUUAUAAAAUAUUAAUUAAAAAAAUAUAUAGUCCUAUGAAUGUCAUAAUAAUUAUAAAAAUUUAGAUGAGUUCAAAAUAUAAUAUAAAAAUAAAUUUUAAAAUAUAUAAUACCACAUAUACCAAUUAUGAUUAUGAGGGUGAAUAAAUAAUUACGUAAUUUUGGUUUCACUUCUUAUAAAAUUUCAAUUAAUUACGAAAUAACAAUAUAAAUUUAAGAGAAAAUUAUUUUUUAGUCUUUGAGGUAUGCCGUAAUUAACGAAUUCGCCCCUCUAUUUUUAGAACCCAACACUUUCGUCUCUGAGAUUUAAUUUAAUAAAAAUUAGAAGUCCCUCUGUUAGUGACAGAAAAAAUGACCGAACUACUCUUUCUUGAACCCAACACUUUCAUCCCUGAAAUUUAAUUCCUACAAGUUUAUAGGUCCAUCUCUCAAAGAAUUGAAGGAAAAAAUAUGUUUUCGUCCCUAAGAUAUUACAUAAUUAACAUAUUUAUCUCUCUAUUUUUAAAAUUCAAUACUUUAGUUCUUGAAGUUUAAUUUCGUUAAAAUUGAAGGAAGAAAAUUUGAAACUCAAUCCCCAUAAACAAAUAAAAAUUUCAAUAAAUUUAAGAUUCAAAUUCAGUAAAUAUAAUAAAAACAAAAAUAUAUAAAAAUUAAAUUAUUAAAAAUAAAAAGUUAAAACUCAAUAGAAAUUGCUUUUUUUGUGCUGUUCGCUGUCGAUCAUUGUUCGCCAUUUAAAAAAUUUAUUAAAAUGUCUCUGACAUUUUAAAAAGUCUACUAGUUAAUAUUUCCAUUGAUUUUAGUCGUUAAGUAUUAUAAAAAAAAAUCUCAAAUACCUCUGAUAUAGAUGGACUAGUUAGUAAAUUUUUUAUUAAUUUGAGGGACCAACAAAUAAUUUUUUCUAAACUAUAGGGACUAAAUAGUAAAAUAUUUGGUGAUAAAAUUAAUAGAGAAACUAACUAGUAAUUUUUUCAUUUUAUUAUUGAUAAGGAUAUUUUUGGGAUUAUAUUUAUUCUCUUUCCUUUGAUUAAGUGGAAAUUAUUGACUUAACAUAAAUUUUUUACAGAGACCUUGAAUUUUGACGGAAUUAAACCUCAAAGGACGAAAGUGUUGGAUUCUAAAAACAAGAGAGACAAAUCCAUUAAUUAUGCUAUACCUCAGGGACUAAAAAGUAAUUUUUCUCAAUUUAAAUAUGUUUGAUUUAAAAAAUAAAUAAAUUUUGAUGAGCACUGUAAAAAUAAGUUUUAUAACAGUAUAACUUAUUUCAAGGUUUCUUUAAGAUAGAUAUUAAGAUUCAUUUACUUAUUUGAAAGUCCAACAAUUAACUUUAUUCUUUAACUUAAUUCUUGCUGAAUAAAACAGUUACAUAUAAAAAUAUUAUAAAUAUCAAAAUUUUAUUUAUUUAAAAAUCUAGUAAUUAAAUUUUUCUUUAACUUAUUUCUCGCUGCAUAAACUGAAUAAUUUGAAAAUUGAAAUUUUAGUAUUUAUAAAAAUCGAACUUAAUUGAUUUUGAUCAAAAAUUGAAUAGGUUUGAUUCGUUUCGAUUCGGUUUGAUUUGAUCGGUUUGAAUUUUUAAUAAAUUUUUUUUACUUUUUAUACUUUAUUUUUAAUAUUUAAAAUUUAAUUGAAAUAUUUUAAUUCUAAUAUGAUCUAGUCUCUAUAUUAUUGAAAAUAAUAUAUUAUUAUUACUAAUCGGUAUGAUUCGAUUUUUUUAUUUUUUUUUUUCUGAUCAAAAUCGAACUGAACUAAAAUAACCGAAAUUUUUAAAAUUAAAAACUAAACCAAACUAAAAUAAAUAAAAAAUUAAACUAAAAUUUCAAAUUAAUUUGAUUUGAUCGUUUUUUCAGUUUAAAUCAAACAACGUUAAUUCCAGACGUAUAUAUUAAAACUUAAAAAGACUAUAGAUUGAUAAUUGGAAAACGACAUGCUGUUUGCCUUUGCGGUCCAUGAUAUAAUUGAAUCUAUGAAAAUGGCAAGAGCAUUAAUGAUUCAGAGGAAAAACAAGACAACAAACAAAAGUAAACAGUACAAAAUACAAGUACUUGACGCUAUAAACAGAACCACAUGGACGUAGAAACAAUCUGAACAACAAAAACUACACGAAUCAACAAUUCAACAAUAGACCUCGACCCAUGAUGCAAUGCAACCAUGGACACAAGAAGCUGCUGUGGAAAGCUUUUAAGGAUUCGUAGUUGACUGAGGUGACUUCACAUCCUUGGGAAGAGUCGAUUGUUGGCAAUAUGGGCUUUGGCAGCUCAGGCAGGUGAGGAAAAGUUGGCAGUUCAGGCAACUCUGGCACUUCCGGCUUUGGAAGCUCAGGCAGUUCAAGUUUAGGCAAGGUUGGGAAUUUUGGAAGCUCAACUAUAAAUGAUUUUACAAAAUUCAUUUAAAUUAUUUUUUUAUAAAAUUAUUUAUAUGAAACGAGAGGAUUUAAAUAAUAUUUAGUGAGUGUAAUUAUCAUAGUGAUUUUUCUUAUAUUUCAUUUACUUUUUUUUGGAAUGAUUAUUUAAAAGGAAAUUUAAAUAAAUUAUUUUGUAUGAUUUUAAUAUUUUUUAAAAUAAAGUUUUUUACUAUUAAAAAAAUUACAUUCUUUCAUUUUAAUAAGAAAUUGAUAAAAAAAACUAUUGAAUUAAAUUUUUAUAAAAUUUUUUAUUUCAAAUGAAAGGUUUCUGUAUUUAAUUUAUAGUUAGUAAUAAAAUUUUUAUAUGUUAAAAUAACAAUCUGAUGUGAGAUUAUUUAAAAUAAAAUAAGAUAAGAUAACAAAAACUAAUUAUUAAUAUAAAUUAAAUGUGUUUUUAUAUAUAUUUUUCAUAAUGGUAAGUAGACUAAUGCUGCUGGAUAGCUUGUCUUUUUUUUUUUUUUUUGGUUUUCCAUGUGCAGAGGCGUACCCUUAUUAGGGCUAAUUUUGACAUUUAGGCUACUUAAAAAGUUUCUACUUUACUUUUAUAUCAUAAUAUUAGAAAUUUAUUUUAUUUAAUUACAAUUUUUAUUAAAUUGGUUGUUCCUGAGUUUUUGAAAAAUUAGAUUUGAAAAAGAAAAUAGAUAAUUUCUUUUAAAAAUUUUAGGCCAUCAAUAAUUUUUAAGUUCAGUAAUUCUCUUUGUGGCUAUGAACUAUUUAAUAAGAUUGAUCACAGUCAUAGCGAAAACCAAAUAAAUAAGCUGGAUCAAUUUUGUAUAUAGAAUAUAAACUUACAACCUACAUCACACAAUAGCUGAAACAGAAAUAUUAUAGGACUAAGAACACAUAAAUGAUACUGAUCAAUGCAAAAGGUGAAGUCAUCACAGCGAGAUCAAAGGUUGAAACGCUUGUGGUAUAAUUGCUUAAGGAUUGGUAGCUGAUUCAGGUUUGGUGUCUUUGGAAGGGAAUGUGGACUUUGGUAACUCAGGCAAGUGGGGAAAAGUUGGCAGUUCAGGUUUUGGCAACUCAGGCAAGUGGGGAAAAGCUGGCAGUUCAGGCUUUGGAAACUCAGGCAAUUCAGGUUUUGGCAGCGUGGGAAUUUCAGGCUUCGACAACUCAGGCAAUUCAGGUAAUUUUGGCAGAGUGGGAAGUUCAGGUUUAGGAAAGGUUGGGACUUCAGGUAAUGGUGGAAGCUCAACCUUAGGAAGUAAUGGCAAGUCAGGCAAUUCAGGCUUAGGAAGCUCCGGGACCUCAGGUAAUGUUGUCUCUAGAAGCUGUCGUGCUUCUGCAGAGAUUGACAGAGCAACGAGUGAGAGCAGAACAAUGAGUGAAGGGGAGCGAAGAUUGGCCAUAACUAUGCAACAAGAUCAAUCAGCUGUAAAUACAAUUUAUCCUCACUUUUGUUUUGUGUGUGUUGAUGUUCACUUGUGUUGAGCUUUUAUAGAAGUGGGAAGUGAAGAAUGGGGAACUUCCAAAGGUGAUUUAGUGGGAAAAGUUGUGUUAGCUCAACUUCCCACCCAUAAGACUCCCACUGUUGGCAUGACCAACUAUAGACUUCCUUACAAGUGUAACCUUGCUAUCUUUCUAUAUGGAGUCCAGAGAUUGGUUAGAUUGAUAAUAAGCUAAAAUAUGGUUCUCACUUGUAAUCAUUCUCAGAAAUCAGAACACUUGUGAAGUUCAAGCUUUUUCACCUAUUUAAUAAUUCACUUCUUUCCUGUUCUACCUACAAAAGAUGAGAUUCUGAAGAAUGGUUCUUCUUUAGUUACUUUAAAAUAAUGUUCAACGAAGAUAGCCUCAUCUGCAAAGUUGGCCAACCUACACACUAAACUUUGACAUGUCUUUCUUUUUAUUGAAGCUCUGACUGAUCUUCACAUCACAUCCAAUUAUCCACAAGGUACUCUUCUAUUUGAAAUUAAGAAUUUUAUUAAAAAUUAAUUCAAUUGAUUUCUUUUAUAUCAAUCUCUUGGUUGGAAUGAGAUUCAAUUUUUUUGACUUAUAAAAUUUUCAUAUUAAAAAAAUUGAAACCAUGUGUAUUCUUGUAAGAAUUUAUUUAUAUUCUUUUUUUUUUCAAACUGAAUCAUUGCAAACAAAAGGACUAUAUAAGGUAGUAUAUAUGAUUCUCAGUUGUAAUUAUAACAGUUCAAAAUAUGUCUAAUCACAUUAGUUUCGGUAGAUCUUCAACAAACUGAAAAUUACUAAUGUUUACAACGGAAUCUGUCUCAGCAAUAUGUAAUCUCCAUAUGCUUUUUUAGUUUUCAGAAACCUUGUAAUUUUUACAGAAUAAAGGAAUUUUACCAUUACGGGUGUAACAUCUAGUUAAACUCCGAUGUCGGAAUCUCAACGUUCUGACGGAAUCUCCGUCGAGAUCCAGAAUCUCGAAGCUAAAAUUUUUAGAAGGAUAAAAUAGAGUUUUCAUAAAAUGAAUUAAAAAUUUUUCUUGGUGUGUUUUAAAAAAAAAUAAAAAAUUUAGAGGAGUUUUAAAGUUCGGCCGCCGAAGACGGCUCUUCCAGCCACUUAUAAAAGGCCUUCAACCCAAAAAUAUGAGAACUCUUUCUCUAUUUUCGAGCAGAGGUAAGUCCAUGCCCUUUUCCAGACAUUCUUGCUAAAAUUACUUCAAAUCUCUUGGAGAAUACAUGAGUUUUUACUUCAUUUUUUAAGAUUUGAGUUUGGAUUUCAAGCUUUAAACUUUGGAGACCUCCGAAAAUCGAUUUCCCAAUUCUCCAAAUCUUGGUUGUUGUGUUUUCUAUGUUUUUCAAGAGGUAAGUUCAAUCUUUGCUUUUCUUAUGCUUUUUGAAGGUUUUAAACCGAUAUUAUAAGUUGUUAGGACAUGCAUGAUUGAUUAUUCUAAAGUUUUAAAGUUUGAGUUAGUUUUGAUGAUGGAUGAUUUUCUCCUGGGAUUUUGUUGAUGCAUGUUGAGUUUAGAACAGUUUUUGAGGUCUCUUAUGCGUGUUAAGUGUGUAUGGUAGUCUUUAGCCUGUUGCAUGUAAGUUUGGGUUUGUUUAUUGGCUAUGAGCAUAGGGCAAAAUCAGGUUCUGCCUUACUGGAGAUCCUAGGUUCAGCCGCUGAAGCAAGGUUCGGCCACCAAAUCUGUCUGUAGAGGCAGCCAUUUGGCCACCUAACCUGCCGCUGAAAGUCCUCUGUUCAGCCUUUUUCAGCUUGUUUCCUACGUGUGUUCUUGUAUGUUCUUAGGGGUUUUCUUGAGGGUAGUUUAAGUAUUGUAAUAGUUAUGUUUGGUUCCUCAUUUAAAUCCAUCUAUGUAGGAUCGGACUUUGGAGACUGUAGAGGCUUGCAGUGAGAUAACUGCUUCAGUACUAGGCGUGCAUCAGUCAAAGGUGAGUAGAACUGAACUGAUAUAUUAUUUUAAAGAAAUCAAACUUUUUAAGCAUACUCAUACAUCACGAAUGUCAUGUAUAUACGAUUAGGUUGUUUUGCAUUAGAGUUCACGAAUAUAAUACAUUGCAUAAAUUAUUGUUGUUGUGGAUGGACGUUGGAUGACCCACUAGCCCUCGAGUAUGUUAUGAUAUGUUAUGAUGGAUAUGGAAAGACUAGGGUUGCCUAUUCUACGCCUCUGGCACUAUGUAAGGGAAAGACCAGGGCUGCCCAUUCUAUGCCCCUUGCACUAUGGAUAUGUUAUGUUAUAUUUAAGAGGAAAACCUGAGGAGCACUCGUCGUGGGCCGAGCACUAUUGAAAUCUGUAGAGGGUUACUGAUGACAAGUCCAUUUUGAUGUAAAUUGUUUGUGCUGUGAUGCAUUCAUACAAUCAUAUAUUUUAUUGAACUGUUUUUUUAUGUUCUGCUCACUAGACUCUUAUAGUUUAUCCCCUUUCCCCUAAUCCCAGGUUUGCAGGAUCAAAGUUAGCUCGGGAAGUCGGCUGAGUUGCUGGUAUAGCCUAUUGUAAUAGUAUAGCUAUGGAAAUAUAUUCAUUUGUGGAUUAGAAUUGUGCUUUGCCCGGGUUCUUCCUUGUAAUCCUUGUUUCAUGAUCAUUUUAUAUAAAAGUUUUUAAGUAUAAGUUUAUGUUUAAAUCGAGCUUGAGGCAUGUUAUGUCACACCCAUUCUCAAAACUGUGGAGAUGGAUAUGACCCGAAAAACUGACAGAACUUCCCCUGUUGUUAAUACAUAUAACUCAUAUGACCUGCUAUAAUUUCAAAAUAUAAAACAUAUAAGAGAUGAUUGAUAGCUAGACUGGUCAAUACAUAAUAUAUUUACAAUAAACAAAACACGUUCAUCAUUUGAAUUUACAAUCUAUACAUAAUCUGUCAAAAUUACAAAAAGAAAAGACAAGACCUAGGAUUGGUCCGACCUCCUCUAGACUCUGAGUGGACGAUGUGGAAGGAAUAACAAACUAGGAGAUGAGGACUGCUGAGCGGAUCACCAAAAAAAAACUGAAUAUUAAAAGAAAUAAGAGUGAGUACAACAUAUUCAGUGAGUGGAUAAAUAAAUAACAAAGGGGAAAAGAUAAGUUUAGGUAAUUAAUAGUACCAAAUAUUUAGCUAAAAUAAGUCAGCUGAAUAAAUACAAUUUAAUUCCUAGGCCUGGGCCUUAUAUGUUAUGUUGACCAUACCGAAGCAUUUGAUGAGGGCUCUAGUAUAGGUUUUAUGUUUUCAGUUACGAUGCAUGCACAAGUCGAGUCUUGGUUCAUGUAAUAAUUAUAUUUUUGUUGUUUGUAUGAUCAUGCAUGGAAUUAUAUCAUAUGUAAUAGGAUGUAUAGUAUGCUUGCUGUGGGCUCCAGUGACCUUAAGUCGAUUUGAACCCUAGCACCGGUAGUGGUCUGGUUCCCGGGUCGUUACAGAGUGGUAUCAAAGCCCUAGAUUCAUAUGACUGGGCCUAGAGUGUUGGGCUCAUAGAUGUUAUAGAGGGCAAAUACAAUUAGGAAAUAUUAUAUCCACUAGGAUAGAAUGUAGAGUCUUGUCAUGAUAUAUGUGAUAACCUCCAGAUCUUUCCUAGCCCAGGAAUAAGGUCGGGUCCAAAAGAAGGCACAGGUCCAAAGCCCAUCAGAUCAUACGCUCGAGAGGCGGCUCGACUUCACGAGCCUGGGCCGGCAACCCAGGAUGAUCCGGAUCAGAUAUGAGCACAAGCCCCAUAAGGGAGUAGGCCCAAUCACUCACCAGCUCUACCCGCAUGCUCUCUGGAGAGCAUUAAAUGGCCGUUACGCAUGGAGCAGGUGCCUGACACGCCCGUAUGUACGGGCCUGAGUGACAAGGACAGGAAGCACUAUAUAUCGGGGGGUCUCCUCUUGCAAGGGGGAUCUUCUUCUUUUUCUUCUCCUGCCUGGACUCCAUUUUUAUUUUCUCUGCAACUCUUGCCUAGAUAUACUACUCUUAUUCAUGAAACCUGACUUGAACGUCGGAGGGUCUCCGCUGGGGCAUCCCGGUGGACCCUUGACCAUUUUUCCUUAUUUUGCAGGUCCCUUUCUCAGAUAGAACAUGGAGAGACCCAUUUGACAGAUUCGUCUGGGAGCCCAAGAAGGAAUCAGAUCCACAUAAGAGGGGGCGAGGGAGGACCAGAUCUAACAAAUAUGGAGCCCAGGGAGAUUUAAAGUUAUCAAUAUGUAUAAUGAUGUAUAAUGUCAUGACUAUAUACAUGUGCAUUGAUGAUAUGAUAGGUAUGAUGUGGGUUCAUGUGUAUCCACAUGAACCAUAUGAUGCUAAUGCCUAUAUGUUUAAAUGAUUUUUCAGAAGACAGAAUGCAUGGCUUAUGUCGAUCUGUACGAUUGACUAGAGUCCCAUCCGAAAAAUGAGGGUAUAGACGCCCUUCCUCCUGCUGCUCCGUCAAGAGUGCGGUCAAGUAGAAAUAACAAGAAUGAAAAGUCAAGAGACCCUAUAAUGUCUUUUAAUAUAAACAAAAAGAGAACAGAUCCGAGUAGGAUGUUUGCAGAUGCCAGAAAAACAGUAGGAAAUGAUUAGAGGAGAGAUAGAAGUUUGGGUAUGAGUUUUGAAGUAGAGGGUGUGGGAGAGUCUGAAAGAGGAACAGAAGGCGUCAGACCAUAGGAUCCGCCUAUCCACCUCAGUACCAACCCUAUGCACAGGAACUCGGGUAUCCGAUGGAAAGUACAACAGAUUACUCUAGCUACCACCCAUACCCCUCAUUCAUACCCUAUCCUCCUUGCUAUUCAUUAUAUCCACCCUACCCUAUCUUAUGUUUUCGCCUCCUCCCCAUUACUAGAAUUUGGCAAACUCUAACUCAGGAAAUGUUGCACCACCUCCUCCUCCAGCAAAACCAGCUAGAAAAAAGUUUUUAUACCCAGAUAGAAAAAAGUUUUUUCUUCAAACUAUAUCAUUCAUUUUAUUUUAUUUACAAUUUUAAUUAAAUCAGUUUUUGAUAAUUUUUCAAAAAAUUAAAUUUGAAAUAAAACAGAUAUUUUUUUUAAAAAUUUUAGGACAUUAAUAAUUUUUAACUUUGAUUAGCAAUUUAUAAUAUUAAACAUUAUACUUUUUAAUUAACAACAAUUCCAUUUAAUUUUCUAAGUUCAGUAAUUCUCUUUAUGGCCCUGAACUAUUUAAUAAGAUUGAUGAGGGUCAUAGCAAAAACCAAAUAAAUAAACUGGAUCAAUUUUGUAUAUAGAAUAUAAACAUACAACGUACAUCAUACAAAAGCUGAAACAAAAAUAUUAUAGGACUAAAACUCACUUCAAAUUUAAGCAUGCAUAUAUAUAACAUAUGAAUCAGACACUUAAGAACACAUAAAUGAUACUGAUCAAUGCAAAAGCUGAAGUCAUCACAGCGAGAUCAAACGUUGAAACCCUUGUGGUAUAAUUGCUUAAGGAUUGGUAGCUGAUUCAGGUUUGGUGUCUUUGGAAGGGAAUGUGGACUUUGGUAACUCAGGCAAGUGGGGAAAAGUUGGCAGUUCAGGUUUUGGCAACUCAGGCAAGUGGGGAAAAGCUGGCAGUUCAGGCUUUGGAAACUCAGGCAAUUCAGGUUUUGGCAGCGUGGGAAUUUCAGGCUUCGACAACUCAGGCAAUUCAGGUAAUUUUGGCAGAGUGGGAAGUUCAGGUUUAGGAAAGGUUGGGACUUCAGGUAAUGGUGGAAGCUCAACCUUAGGAAGUAAUGGCAAGUCAGGUAAUUCAGGCUUGGGAAGCUCCGGGACCUCAGGUAAUGUUGUCUCUAGAAGCUGCCGUGCUUCUGCAGAGAUUGACAGAGCAACGAGUGAGAGCAGAACAAUGAGUGAAGGGGAGCGAAGAUUGGCCAUAAUUAUGCAACAAGAUCAAUCAGCUG
rnacentral:lncRNA from 1 species